GCGUCGUCCUCCCUCCUCCCCGUUUUCGUCUUCGAUCCGCGGGACUUCGGCAAGUCCCCCUCGGGGUUCGACCGGACGGGCCCGUACCGCGCCAACUUCCUGCUCGAUUCGGUCGCCGACCUGCGCCGGAGCCUCCGCGCCCGCGGUGGGGACCUGGUGGUGCGCGUGGGUAGGCCCGAAGUGGUCAUUCCCGAGCUCGCGCGGGCGGCGGGCGCGGAGGCCGUGUACGCUCACGGGGAGGUAUCGCGGGACG
rnacentral:lncRNA from 1 species